UAGUUUUAUAAAUUAAAUAGUUUUUAUUUAUCUUACUUAACGGGCUUUUGAUUAAAUUCAGCAAUAUCAGAAAGCACUAUCACACACACACACACACACACACACACACACAUAUAUAUAUAUAUAUAUAUAUAUAUGGAGAUCUAGACUGACUAACAAGUGGCAGUUCAAUUAGUCUAUGUAUACAAAUAUGAAGAUUUGAUGCAGGACUAUCAUAACAUUUAAAGGCACUAAACAAAUAAGACACUUAAAACGCUAACAAACACAUCUCAUGUUUUGUUUUGAAAUAAAACACCAGUAAAAUCAGACAUUUCUGCUGCAGGAUGAUGUAAAUAAAUCUGGACCUCUGCCUCUGUGCCGUGCCUUUUCUCUUUAACCCACGUAGUGCCUCACUCUAAUGCGGUGGAGGGCUCUUUUUGUCGCAGGCCCCUUUCGCUUUGAGUGGGCUCUGCCUGAAAGGGAAGAGGAGGGGGCUUUUGUCCGAUCUGAUCCCUAACUAUUUGGGGGGCUCAGAUUGGUGUGAAAGGGACGAGAAGGUCACUCGAAAUCGCCUUUUAUCCGCUGCCAUUUUCUCUAUGGAUCAGCAACUUUCAAUGGCCAUCAUCUAAUCGCUCUUAAUGGAAAGCGUAGUCGAGAGAUGAGGAAAAUAUCUUAAACUAGCACACUUAGGACGGCUCUUUAAUAGAUAACACAACCAUGUGUAUUCAAAAUUAUUUAGUUUUUUUGUUUGUUUUUAUGAAAAGUUUAAGUUUAGUAUUUAGUUUUAGUAUUUAGAUUUCAGCACUUGUGGAAAUUAACAAUCAAUGAUUGAUUGUGUUUAACGGUUUACACACUAAAAUCAGAAAAAAAAAAUCAGAAACCUUGGAGGGAGUAUGGUCACUGUCACUAUUUUGGAAAAAUGCUAUUGGUCCAUUUAUCAAUAAAUUGUGACACAGUGUAAAGGACAGUUGGUUUGUUGAAAUUAUGUAGUAAUCUAAAAAUCGACAAAAAUGGAGAUACUUGUUUUUCAUUGGACAGCGACGGUAUGGUAUUGGUAUAACUGUGGUAAACAAAACGUAUAUUUUCAAGGUUUUUUAACCACCUCAAAGUGCAUUCUGAAAAAAACUACAUGUUUUGCAAUUCCUCACUCUUUGUCUUCCUUUUUGCCAGUAUUCAACUCCAAGGUAAUGUAUGCAACUGUAGGCUAUCUACUAUUACAGGUGUAAUAAAGCAAACCUUUUUAAUAGCACGCAAAGCAGGCGCUAAACGCACCUUCGUACACGUUCAUGCUGGAACUGGGAAAACCGCGCGCUUGCGAGGACAAAUGGGGGCGGAAUGGCUUUUCCAAUUAGCCCGCGGUAGGAGCUUUAGUGAGAGGGACUGUCAAUUUAUGCUGGAGGUAAUGGCUUUAUUGCUCACAAACCAUCAUCUAUUUGGAGCAUAUGUGCUAAUUGCACUGGACGGUCUCUGAGAGCAACAUCAUAAAUUCGACAGCAGUUAAAACAAGUCUGGACCUACAGCAAUUAGGCCAUCUUACACCUCUGGAAAACAGAGGCCAGGCGGCUCACGCAUGCGCAGCUCCACGGCCGCUAUUGCGGUUUUGACCAAUGGUUUUGGUAGGUUGGUUUCACCUUUGAAAGUCUGACCUUAGCAGGACACAGGUCAGCUCUGCUGAAAGGGAUGGAAUGGACCAGUUUUCCAACCUUAUGGCUUGAAGAAAGUUUCUGGAAGAACUUUUACAUUAUUUUAAUACAAACUAUUAAUGUGUUUUUGCAGGAAAACUGAAAAUGAAUAUAAUAAUUUAAAAUAACUGUUUUAAUAAAUUAUCCAACAUUUUGAUUCACUGAGGCGGUUGAAGAACACCCACUUAAUAAUCUUGAAUGGUUCCUGGCUUAAAUUAUUAUUGAGUAUGGAACCUUCACGCAUUCUAUUUAACACUGGCAACUUUCGUUUACAACAAUGGUUAUUUGAAUUAAAAUGUUUCUCCUCAGAAACUUCUGUGCUAUCUUUAUUUUUUACUCUACCCUCACAUUUAAGAAGAACUGAACCUACUGCAUAGGACAUAUUUUAUUUACAUUUAUUUAUUUUUUUUUAUUACAGAAUUAAUUUAAUAUUUUUAAUUUCCCAGCACUUCCUAAUUCUAUUCUUGCUUAGACAAACAAUCUAAACUUUGGAAAAUGUUACUAGUGAAAAGCCAUCAGUCGCAAACGCUUCCGUUUUCCUCCAAAGUCAAAACAGGACAGUGUGCUCUGGCGUGCUUUUCCAAGGGAUUCCCUGCUAUUAGUUUCAGGAAACUGCAGGGCAAAGGUAAGCGCGCACCAAAGCUUGUGGAAAUUUGCACGGAUUUACUGCACAUCCCCACAUGAUCAGCAGGAAGAGCGAGAAAGAGCACGGACAAAGCGCACUCUCGCAGUUUAUCUCCGCCAAAAAAGCAGACGUCGCAUUUUUCACUUCUCCCCCAGAUUUAAUUUUUUUUUACUCCUUUACUACUUUCAGCAGCAAAUCAGGAACUGGACCGCGCAUUUCAACGCAGUUAAUGGGUUAAAUCGUUUACAUCAGAUGCAGGACUCCGCGUGGAUGAGAGAUAAAGAAAGAAUGAAUAGCUUUUAGUAAGAGAAAAGUGCCAUUUUUAAAGAAGUGAAGCAUCACAGAGCCAUUAAUUAACAUCUUAUAAAGGGACAUUUUAAUGAGAUAUAUUUUAUUGGACUCGUAGUGAACAAUGCAUUUAGUUAGGGAUAACACACACACACACACACACACUGUAUCUCAUGUACCAUGGUAAAGUGACAUAUACAUAUACACGCACACACAGACACCUAUGUAGUCAGUCUAUUCAUCUAUAAUAUAUAUUGAUACGUUUUUAAUAAAUACUUUUUUGUAUUAUUAAUUAAUCAAAUUUGACACUAUGAGAAUGCAUAACUGCACUUAAUAAAGACAAGCAAGAAAACGGCUGUUUAAAAGUAAUUGAUUACAAAAAGGAUCGCAUCUUUCCAGGAACGCCACAUCAUUAGCUAAAGUGGUAACUGAGUCAUUUUAACUGUAGAUAGAUGGAGGUGUGUUGAGGCUUUAGGGCUAUCAUGGGUUUUCUGAGCGUGUGUGUGUGUGUCCAUGUAAAUUUGUUUAGCAAGCUGAGAUCUUCAGACCAAUCUAUGUAUUUUUUUUUUCAUUUUUUUUUAAUUAUUUCUUUUCUUCUUUAACACUGUUUGCAUCUAUGUCGGUAGCAUUUUUGGUUAUGGCAUGGAUUAAUUGUGUUGUUUAUCCUUAGUCUGAGUGGAAAACCAUGGCGUACACUAUGUGACCAAAGAUGACAUCUAACUACUCCUGACUACCUGAACAAUGAUUAUUGAGGCUAAUGACAGGCUUGGCUAACAGCGAAACUUGAGCAGCUGCAGGACAUUGAUCCAGUAUUAUUAUACAUGAUGUGGUCAUCAGCACAGAAGCAGGAAGUGGUUUGAUACAUCUCCAUUUAAUGUAUCUACGUAAGUAAGUGCCAACACACACUACUAGUGCACGCAUGUGGAAAAAGAAACACAGGAAGUGCUGUGCCUACAUCUCUGUUUAUGCUCUGUCCCUCUCCAUACUGAGUGUCCUCCGUCCCCUCUCUCUAUCAGCUCUAUCAGUCUCUGAGGGGAAAAGAAUGCAGCCGUCAUUCCUAAACACAAACAUUCCUCCAGGCUAGAUUCAUCAUAUGAAUUCGUCUUGUUUUAAAGCGCCAAAACAUUUUUUAACAAAGACAACACAAGGCUAAUUUAUUGGCCAGUAAGAAAAAGGCCAAGACUUUAAAAUUAUAUACAGCUCUGGAAAAAAAAGAGACAACUUCAGUUUCUGAAUCAAUUUGGCUAUUUAUAGAUAUAUGUUUAAGUAAAAUUAACAUUGUUGUUUUAUUCUAUAAACUACAGACAACAUUUCUCCCAAAUUCACAAUAAAAAUACUGUCAUUUAGAGCAUUUAUUUACAGAAAAUGAGAAAUGGCUGAAAUAACAAAAAAAAAAGAUGCAGAACUUUCAGAUCUCGAGUAAUGCAAAGAAAAAAGUUCAUAUUUAUAAAGUUUUAAGAGUUCAGAAAUCAAUAUUUGGUGGAAUAACCCUCUUUUUUAAUCACAAUUUCCACGCUUCUUGGCAUGUUCUCCUCCACAAGUCUUACACACUGCUUUUGGAUAACUUUAUGCCUUUACUCCUGGUGCAAAAAUUCAAGCAGUGCCUGAGUUCAGUUUGGUUUGAUGGCUUGUGAUCAUCCAUCUUUCUCUUGAUUAUAUUCCAGAGGUUUUCAGUUUGUAAAAUCAAAGAAACUUCAUUUUUGGUCUAUUAUUUUUUCCAGAGCUGUUUAUAUAAACAUUGUGUCAUUGAACACAAAAAUCCUAUACAUGCUUAAAUGGUUACAAAAGAACAAAAACAAAUCUAACUUAAUUUUGUAGUAAUUUUGUAGUAUUAUUCACAGAGUAUUAGAGUAUAAAUAAUGUCUCCUUUAGAUAAUAUCCUGAACAAAUGCAAUAAGCUUAUCCCUAUACAAAAAAACAUGUUUUAAUGUUUUUAAAUGCAGUGCAACAUGAUUUAUUGAAUUUUCUAUUGAAUUGAAAAGCAGUUUUCAAUGUUUCAAUGGAAGUUCAUGUAAAAAAAAAUAUUUUAAGUCAUUUUAAAGCAUUUCUAUUGGUCUGUUCACUAUGAAAUUUUGAUAUAAUGUAAAACAAGAUGCGAUACAAACAAUACAAGAAAGAAAUCAAGACUAAAUCAAAGACUAAUUUUAUGAUGAUUUCUGCUAUAUCUUUUUUUUUAUAUUCUAACUGUAAAUGCACAGUAUGCGACUCUAAGCAUCUCCUCUUAACACCAUUACUAAAUGCUAAUUGGCUUACUGGCUGUUCAUUGUUAUCGUUUGAUGUUAACGUCAUGUCUGCUCCAGCACUGAGAUUGAGUUGAUUCUGAUGCUAUUUGAUCACCUCACGUCCUCGACUCUUCCUUCUCCGGCUUCCUAGGCAGCUCCCCCAAGCCAGCAGGAACAAAAGCUAUUGCUGUUCAUCUAUCAGAGCAUGGUUAAAGGUAAGUGGCACCCUCUAUUAUGAUGACAAGGCAAGUAAUGGUACAGUCUGUCCCCUUGGUUCUGCAUUACUUAUUUAUAGGUUAACCCCUCCUUGUGGGUUUGGGCAAGCCUGCUUUUUUUUUUUUGGCUGCGUUUUCUGAGAGCUUGUGGGCGCCACAGGUGAUCGGGAACCAGAGAUUCCAGUGGAGAUAAAUAGAUAGAAUGAACUAGUGUGAAAGAAGCUGUAUUGCAUUGUUUAGGUCUAUGGAGUAAUGUACAGUAUAUCAUCACUACUGUCCAUGUUUUUGUUACAAUAUAUAAAAAAAAACUUUUACGAUAUUAAUUAUUAAUUGAAGACUUUAGCAUAGCUUGGGACUCAAUUUGUUUUAGACAUAUGAGGAAAAUAAGUCUCAUAACUCGAAAAUGGUGUUUUUCAAUCUUUCAGACGUAAUUUUCUUAACUAAUUUGGAGCAUUUCUAUUGGUCCAUUCACUUCGUAAAUAAAUCUCAAUAAUUAUGGAAAUUAUGGAUGAAUAAAUUAACAGAAUACUCUAAAAUAUUUGGAAUAAUGUAUAAAUAACCAUUUUUGAGAUACAUCUUUUUUUUUUCUUCAAUUGAGUAAUGAUAAUAUACUGCUGCUCUUAACUUUAAGUGGAUAUUUGGCCUACAGUUCAUUCUUGUUCUUGUACAGUUUUGUACAAUAUAUAAAGUACAAGUACAAUAUAUAAAGACUGCUGAUGCUAAAAUAAUCACUAUGUAUGUAUGUAUGUAUAAAUAGUAUAUAAUACAAUGUAAAUGAACAAUAAAAUACAAUACAAAUAAAUUGACGACAUAUA